rnacentral:sRNA from 1 species
GAGCCUGAGGGACCCGGCGGCCGGUGAGCGCCCGCUAGAGGCUGGAGCUUCCGGGCCCUGGAAAGGGGUCCCCGCGCGCCCCGGGUCGGAGGCAGACCCCUGGGUUUGGGGGACAUGGGCAUUUGGGGCGCCUGAACCCAAGACCUCUGGAUGGUAGGGAUGCCCGGGCGUCCUGGAUACCCUGCGGGACUCGGGGCUCCUGCGGGGAAGAUGGCACGUUUUACUGCCCAAGGAGUGGUCAGGGGGGUGGAGAAGCGCUGCGGGUACCCUCAGGAGGUCUGCGACAGAGGGGGCUAGCUGCGCAGCCCAGGAGUGGUAGUGGCCCCCCUGGAUGACAGGCCUGGCCGUAUCCUCCCCCAGAGCUGCCCCGUUCAGACCAUGGAUCCUGAGGUGACCUUGCUGCUGCAGUGCCCUGGCGGGGGCCUGCCCCAGGAACAGAUACAGGCCGAGCUGAGCCCCGCCCAUGACCGUCGCCCACUGCCAGGUGGGGACGAGGCCAUCACUGCCAUCUGGGAGACCCGGCUAAAGGCCCAACCCUGGCUCUUCGACGCCCCCAAGUUCCGCCUGCACUCAGCCACCCUGGCGCCUAUUGGCUCUCGGGGGCCACAGCUGCUCCUGCGCCUGGGCCUUACUUCCUACCGAGACUUCCUGGGCACCAACUGGUCCAGCUCAGCUGCCUGGCUGCGACAGCAGGGGGCCACCGACUGGGGUGACACGCAGGCCUAUCUGGCGGACCCACUGGGGGUGGGCGCUGCACUAGCCACGGCCGAUGACUUCCUUGUCUUCCUGCACCGCUCCCGGCAGGUGGCUGAGGCCCCUGGGCUGGUGGACGUACCUGGUGGGCACCCUGAGCCUCAGGUGAGAUUCCAGGCUGGGCACAAAGACCCAGACAGCUCAAGGGAGCUGCAGCUCUCCACCCUCCCAAUCCUCCCAGCUUUGGUUUCCUCAUCCCUUAAAGGGAAAAUUGGCCUGGUAUUUCUCUGAAAGUUUGCUCAGGGCAGUCCACCUGCCUCCCCACUGACCCCUGCCCCAGUCCUGUGAGAAACUAGAAAACACGGGAGGAAAGAUUGGGCACAGGAAGAAGAUGCCCUACUCCACCCCUGCCCCCUGUGUAUCUCCUUUGAAGCUGGACCUCUGGUUGUCUGUCAGGGAAAGGACACCAGACUCAGGAUCACUAACUCUCUUACACUGUGCCACAUCAGACCCUCAAGGCCAGCAGGUAUAGGCUUGCUGGUCCUGAGAUGGGGCAGGGGGAAGAGGUGGGGAGCAGGGGCUGAGCCUGACCUCUCACAGGCCCUGUGCCCUGGUGGCAGCCCCCAGCACCAGGACCUCGCUGGGCAGCUGGUGGUACGUGAACUCUUUUCCAGUGUCCUUCAGGAGAUCUGUGAUGAGGUGAGUGAGGUUGACCUGGACAGGGUGGUAGACAUGAAGGGAGGGGGUAGGACUUGCCAGAAUUCUACAGGUCUGGGCUGGCAGGAGGCCUGCAGGCAUCUGGCCAGCAAUGAGGGAAGAAGUUGGCUUUGCAACUAUACAUACUUGGAGUGGAAUUCUAGCCCUCAGUACUCUCUGCCUUGGAUUCUUCUUCUUUUUUCUUUUUUCUUUUUUUUUAGACAGAGUCUCGCUCUGUUGCCCAGGAGAAUGGCGUGAACCCGGGAGGCGGAGGUUGCAGUGAGCCGAAAUCGCGCCACUGCACUCCAGCCUGGGAGACAAAGCGAGACUCCGUCUCAAAAAAACAGAAAAAGGAGUAAGUGUGGCAGGGUGUGGUGGCUCACACCUGUAAUCCCAGCACUUUGGGAGGCCAAGGCCAGCGGAUCACCUGAGGUCAGGAGUUCGAGACCAGCCUGGCCAACAUGGAGAAACCCCAUCUCUACUAAAAAUACAAAAAUUAGCCAGGCGUUGUGGCGUGCACCUGUAAUCCCAGCUACUCAGGAGGCUGAGGCAGGAGAAUCACUUUAACCUGGGAGGCAGAGGUUGCAGUGAGCUGAGAUCGUGCCACUGUACUCCAGCCUGGGCGACAGAGCGAGACUCCAUCUCAAAAAAAGAAAAAAA